UACAGAGGGUGCGAGCGUUAAUCGGAAUUACUGGGCGUAAAGCGUGCGUAAGACGUCAUGUAAGUCGGAUGUGAAAGCCCCGGGCUCAACCUGGGAAUUGCAUUCGAGACUGCAUGGCUUGGGUGCGGAAGAGGGAAGCGGAAUUUCCGGUGUAGCGGUGAAAUGCGUAGAUAUCGGAAGGAACACCAGUGGCGAAAGCGGCUUCCUGGUCCGACACCGACGUUCAGGCACGAAAGCGUGGGGAGCAAACAGG
rnacentral:rRNA from 1 species